rnacentral:rRNA from 1 species
GUGGGGAAUAUUGGACAAUGGGCGCAAGCCUGAUCCAGCCAUGCCGCGUGUGUGAAGAAGGCCUUCGGGUUGUAAAGCACUUUUGUUGGGAAAGAAAUCCUGUCGGCUAAUACCCGGCGGGGAUGACGGUACCCAAAGAAUAAGCACCGGCUAACUUCGUGCCAGCAGCCGCGGUAAUACGAAGGGUGCAAGCGUUACUCGGAAUUACUGGGCGUAAAGCGUGCGUAGGUGGUUCGUUAAGUCAGAUGUGAAAGCCCCGGGCUCAACCUGGGAAUUGCAUUUGAUACUGGCGGACUAGAGUGCGGUAGAGGAGAGUGGAAUUCCCGGUGUAGCAGUGAAAUGCGUAGAGAUCGGGAGGAACAUCAGUUGCGAAGGCGGCUCUCUGGUCUGUAACUGACGCUGAGGUUCGAAAGCGUGGGUAGCAAACAGGAUUAGAAACCCGGGUAGUCC